AUGACACUGCUUAUAAUGUUCCUGACCCACCUCCACCCACAAGUCAUAUUUAUCUCCUUCGCCGAUAUUUGAAAUGAGAACUACAUAAAUUGAUCAGAAGAAAUUUCUUGCAAUUAUUUCUAUUAAAUGGACCAAUCUCUGAUAACUGCAGGAUUCCUCAACACUCCUAAAAUGUAACCUCCAGCAUGACCUCCUCUGGCUAUCUGUGAUGUAGUCUGCUGCUCUCCCCAUUUUUCCUCUCACCCAUUCUACUAUUUCCUUACCCAUUGAGUGUUAUUAUGUUAGAAUCCCUCAUACAUCUGUUAAUUACCUACU